CUGUCCAGGGAUGAUCCCGGCUGUGUCUAUUUAUACGGGCCAGGGGACCAGCGCAGCUACCUGUUGGCUGGCUGUGCAUAGUGGGUAGCAGGGCGCGUUCUCUGUACUUCUCUGUAUUGUACGAUGCUAUACAGUAUACUACGGACGAUAGGCAGGCUAGCUGGGCGCAACAGGGAAUGCCUGUAUAGCUGCGCGCGUAUACAGUAUACACAUAUACAGUAUACACACAUAGCAAGCGAAAGCGGAUCGACGACGGGUAAAGCUAAAACUGGGUCAGCGGCUGGAGGAAAGUAGGUCGACUCAGAACGCCAUGAUAAAGCUUGCUCGCCGGUAGACGCGCGCGGUGUUCUCUUAUGGGGGUGCGUCUUACUCAUUGAAAAUCCGUUGCACUUGCGCACACGUCGAUCUCGGUUGAUCGACGGCUUAUUUUAUGUUGAAGAGAGUAUUAUGAGAAGCUUCGGUGAAAUGAUGGAAAGAAAUUUUGAAUAAAUUAUCGGUUAUUCGAAACACAUUGGAAAAUGAAUUUGUAGUGUGUGCUUAGAAUUAAUGGAGUGCUCGAAAUGACAAAUUUGUAAUUUUCUAUAAAAAGACUUUAUACUAGAGACAAAUCUUUCCACGGAACACAAUUCGCAAACUUUUUACCAACUGAUUUCUGCCCUGGGGUGACAUUUUCCCGUAUGAGAUUCCACUCUCCGUUAUUAAACAAGAGUCUUUGGCAUGGAACGUCACAGGAAACAGCUACAAUUUAAUAUGCUUCUCGUGAUUUAUUCGUCAAACACUGAUCAUACGUUUAAAAGUUAUACUAAGCUUUCACUACGAGAGCUUUGAGGGUUAAAAGACGUUAAAGCACAGUCUUUAUGAAAUAUAAAUUAUAUUUUUAAGUGUGUUUGAAGCACGCCUCGUAUAAACCAGAAGUUCCAUAUAUUCUAACCUAAUUUAACAAUUCAUUUCAAUAAUUUGCGGGUCAAAGAUUCAGUUCAAAGAAACCUAUUAACCCAUUUGCUUAAAAUCUGGAUAAAGGAAUUAACAUAAAUUGUGAAAUCAAUUUACAAUAUACCUAAUUUACAACUACCUAA